rnacentral:rRNA from 1 species
CGGACGGGUGAGUAAUGUCUGGGAAACUGCCUGAUGGAGGGGGAUAACUACUGGAAACGGUAGCUAAUACCGCAUAACGUCGCAAAACCAAAGAGGGGGACCUUCGGGCCUCUUGCCAUCGGAUGUGCCCAGAUGGGAUUAGCUAGUAGGUGGGGUAACGGCUCACCUAGGCGACGAUCCCUAGCUGGUCUGAGAGGAUGACCAGCCACACUGGAACUGAGACACGGUCCAG